rnacentral:rRNA from 1 species
GACGAACGCUGGCGGCGUGCUUAACACAUGCAAGUCGAACGAUGAACCCGGAGCUUGCUCCGGUGGAUUAGUGGCGAACGGGUGAGUAACACGUGAGUAACCUGCCCUUGACUCUGGGAUAACUGCGGGAAACUGUAGCUAAUACCGGAUACGACCCUCGGCGGCAUCGCCAGGGGGUGGAAAGAAUUUCGCUCAAGGAUGGACUCGCGGCCUAUCAGCUAGUUGGUGAGGUAACGGCUCACCACGGCGACGACGGGUAGCCGGCCUGAGAGGGUGAGCGGCCAGACUGGGACGGAGACAAGGACCAGACUCCUACGGGAGGCAGCAGUGGGGAAUAUUGCACAAUGGGCGCAAGACUGAUGCAGCAACGCCGCGUGAGGGAUGACGGCCUUCGGGUUGUAAACCUCUUUUAGUAGGGAAGAAGCGAAAGUGACGGUACCUAAAGAAGAAGCACCGGCUAACUACGUGCCAGCAGCCGCGGUAA